GCAGAACUGGAUAUGAGAAAUGUGAUUCCUCCCAAUGGAUCUGAGCACUGGUCCCACCUCAAAGCCGAGCGAGAAGGCUUCAAGAGUCAGUGGUAAAGGUCUGGGAUUCCUGCAAGAUGGAGAGCCUGGCCCCUCAAGCCCCAGGGAUGCACGGUGUCCACCUGAGCAGGGGAAACGCCUAGAGAGGAGACCCGUGGCAAAAGAGGAGAGCCUGGAGCAGCCCAUACCUCAGCUAUUUGGUGAGGCUGUGAUGUCGGGAAUUCAGAAGAAGCUUGAUUGGGUAGUUCUGGCUCCAGGUUGCUCAAGAGAGUGCAAUCAAGGUGGCAGCUGGGGUUGCAGUCAAUUGAAGACUUGGCUGGGGCUGACUGAUCUGCGUCCAGCCUGGCUCAUUCACGUAUCUGAUCCCAGCCCUCAAGUCAGAAAGAGAGUGGCCUUUCUGCUGGGGUUGCUUCCUGUGUCCCAGCCAUGUCUGGUGUCCAAGGUCAGUAUACUAUGACAUUCUCCAAGAAAACAAGUGAAUCAGUUAACUGUUGCUACAAUAAUGCUAUGUAACAAACCACCCCAGAUCUUAGUAAUAAUCAUUCAUAUUCAGUCAUGUGUCUGCGGGUCUGCUGGAGGUUGGCCAGUCCAGGCUGGGCUUGGCUGCAUGGCUCUGCCUCAAGCUUUGGAUAUAGCUCAUCUUGGCUUUCACUGAAGCUUGGCUCAUUUCUACUCCACAUUCAUCCUAGGGCCCAGACUAAGGGGGAUGCAGACACCUAGAAGGUCUUCUCUGAGCUCAAGAGAAAAAUCAGAAACAUCCAAGUCUUGUUAAGGCCUGGGCUUGCAAAUGGCACUCCCUCACUUCUGCCUGUAUAUCACUGGCUCAAGGAAGUCACAUGGCUGAGCCCAAAGUCAAGGGGUGGGGACUGCACCCACCCGCAGUGAGGCCACAGCAAGGGUGAGGAUGUAGGGCAGGUUAAAGGAUGCAGAGUCAACAAUUCCAUCUACCAAAGCCUGGGUCUUGCCUCCAAACUCAAACUGAAGCUGUGAUGAUUGAUGGAGACUCUGGAGUUCCCAUCCAUUUGUUGUAUUUCUGGUAAUUACCAAGUAUAAAUGUGCAAAUGACACACUCACACCUGCUCACCACAAAAACUAAAGGACAGUAGCAGAGGAGGGCACUGCCUACUUCAUUUGCCCUGCAGGACCCGUCAACGUGGACCACUGCACUCAGGGGCCUGUAUUGUCAGACUUGGCUAUUACUCUUGUUCAGAGAGAUGUGGUGUUCCCUCUGAUGUUGGAAUGUGAGGGUAAUUGUGGGUUGUGUGGUCAUUCCUGGGGAAAGAAGAAGAAGGCCUUUCUUCCAAGACAAAUGUGCCACUCUACAAUUAGAAGCGUUUCAUAACCAUCUCCUUUCUUUUACAUUGGCUUUGGCCUAUGUGGUUGGCUGGAGAGGCCACUUCUGGGAAGAAAAAAUCCACAUUAUUUUCUGAAGGUGGAGUCAAAAAGAAAAAUCAAAACCCCAGCUUUUUGACUUGGAUUGACAAAAGCAGAAAACUAUCCCAGACUACUCCAACCUGCAUAGCUUGAAGUCAGUUGUGACCAAAGUGCUUCCCCAGGCCCUGGGAGCCACCCCUUGGGUGGGCACAGCAUCACAGCCUACAGACUUGUAGACUGACCCUAUAGUAGGGUGCCCACCCAAAGAGUGAAGGGGGCUGAAUUCCAGCCCAUCCUCCACUUGCCAGGCCAAGCACCCACACUAGAGGCUGGAUUACCCCAAAGGAAGGGGCCCCUUUGAUAAUCAAUCUGCCCACAAGGAGAAUCUCUUGGUAAUUCACAGAAAGAUAACUUAUCAGAGGGGAAUUUCUCUCCUUGGACAUCAGAUGUUUCUCUACUCCAGACUGCCCAGAGGCUGUCCUGAGCAUGGGGCCUGGUACAAUGUAGUAAAUUGGAUUACUCUUUCCAACUCUUCCCUACUCCUAUGAUAACAUUAUGCAUCCAUAUCCUUUGCCAUGUGACUCUGUAG
rnacentral:lncRNA from 1 species